ACUUGUUGGAUAGUGCUUUAGCCAGCCCAGCUCUCUGGUUCAACCUGCUCUCACCAUGUUACACAUUUCCACAUCUGUUUCCCAGCUCUUAUUUUUUUUAAUAUAAAAUAAAUGUUCUGUCUACCAUUACAUUUACGUUAUUGUAUGUGACUAAAACAUUCUGCUUUUCUAUUUGAGCAGGCUCUGUUCCAUCUGAAUGGCAAAAUGGAUAGAGGAUUGUAGUAGUUAGAGGAGGAAAAACCAUGAGACUGGAGUCCAUCAUCCUGUAAAGGUAUGAUAUAAUACUGUGACAGAGGCCAUAUCAGAUAUUACAUUGAUAUAAUACAGAAGUGUUUUACACUAUCUGAAAUUAUAAUGAGAGAAAGUAGGCAAGGAGUGGAUUUCUAGUUGGUGCAGUAGCUGGGAGAAGGAUGUAAUGGCCAGACUAUUACAAGAAACAGGCCAUCGGGUUAGUUCACGCAGUGAAGUCUCCUCCAGCAUCAACCCUGUGUGUUUGGGACUGUAAGGUCCUGAGCGACAUGCUCUUGCACCACGGCGGCAUGCUGUGAUCCCUUCAGCUCUCGCUAGCCAAGUAGGAAGGGGUUGAUACAGUCUUCAGCUCUUGAGCCAAAAUUUGUCAAAGCUGAGGGGAGUUUCACCUAUGGUUUCAGACACAACUGAUGCCAGGCUCUGCGCAGCCCUGGAGGGGAGGACAGGGCUCGGUGCCGCGGUAGGUGGCACUCUGUCCCCAGACAGCUUGGCCUCCCUCCCUGCAUCCUUGCAGGAGGCACUGGGCAGCUUAAGGUGGUUGAUUUUUGCUUAGCAUCUAAAAGCAACUCUGAUGUGUUGCUGGGAGGAUGAAAAAUCCCAUGGCAUGCUUGCAGAAAAAGGGUUAUAAACCUUUUGGUAUCCUGGCUGGACCCAAAAUUAAAUAGAACUGUUCUAUCUAAUUUCUCUUUCAUUUUAAUUGAUUCAGCUGUAAGUGAUGCCUUGCUUCUCCCAGACUGGAGACCUUUAAAUAUCUAUUCCCUCAUUCCUCCCCACAAUGUCAGGUAAAACAGCAUAUAACAGUGCUUGUUAAAUUUGCAUUGCACAUUAAUACAGUUGUGGAAAUUGGCACUGUAGAAAUAUUGCUUUUCAUAAGUAUUUUAUGUGACUUUUUUAGUCAGAGUAUGAAACCGUGGAACAGAAAUGCUCUUACACUCUUCUGCUGCUGGAGAUAUAAUUGUGAGACAAGAAAUAACUUUAAACUCUCACAACAGUUCUUUUUCUCAAAAUACUUGUAACAAAAAUACAUUGCACCAGGUGCCCUGGUUUCAUUUCUGCAUGCUCUCUUCUCAAAGGUUUCAGAUAGCUCAGAAAUGGAAAGUUAAACUACACAGCAUGCAUUUGCUGUUGAUGGGCAUAUAUGCAGGGUUAGACUAAUAAAAAUACCACAUUUCUUCUCAAUACAGUGUACAAUUCCAGUGCUAAGUAAAUACUAAACACAGUGUCUGAAAUAUCCUGUUACUAAGGCAACCAGUUCCCAUGUUAUCUUUAUAUAUAUAUAUUCAUGCUCCCUAUGCUACUCAAAAUAAAAGAAGUUCUUGUCAAGAUUGGUGAACUGAAUUCUUGAUGAGAUCUGCCUUAUUAAAUGCUAAAUAUUGUAGAUGCCUCAGACUGGACUUUGGGGUUGACAAUAAGAAUAAGAACAGAAGCUGAUAGAUAGGAUAAUGAGUUUUAAGUUGUAGAGCGUUGGCCAGCUUGUACAAAACAGGUGUUAGGACAAAACUUUUCUAAGGUCUAUGUAUGCCAUAAAUGCCCUCGCAGAAUUCACAUACGUAAGUAUUUCAUAGUAUCUCCUUCUGAGACAGCUCUUUUCACUUGCUCUGUUAUGCAGACCAAUUUAUUUCUCUAAUAUGGUAAUUCUUGUUACUAAUGAGCCUAAGCAAGGAAAUUGCCAGCAGCAUGGAGUUUGGUAUGUGUUAAUAGUCUCUGCAUCUUGCUGUUAGUAUUUUUUUCCAUAUACAUAUUUUCAAUAUUAGAACAUGCCAUAUACUAUAGCAAGCAAGUGUGCAUAACUCAGUGCUGCUCCAAAAGUCAAGAGUGUAACUGAGGCACUACUUACACAGUAGUUCUUGUUUAGCUGUCUUGGCCAUGACUGGCUGGUGAUGGGUUUUUUUUGCCAUAAAUGUUAUUUUGAGGGUUACUCAGCUGUAUUUCACACCCAAUAAAAAAAGGGGCAUUCCCUCAGUGGGGGUUUAGUGCUCAUGGUGCUGGUGCAGUGUCAGUUUAACUCAGAAUUGAAAAUGAACUCAGCAGCAGCACCUCAGCAGGGAGGGUAUCUGAAAGACCAGAACUUCAUGGGCUGACCUAAGUCAUCCUUGGAGGCAAUCUUUGUUUUCAUGGCAUGUUGCCUGGGAAGUACAUGUGCUUGUGUGGACCUUGGACUGAACAAGUUUGCAGCUUCUUACAACUCUCCAUGCUUUCAGCAAAGUGCUACAGGUGAUAAUAAGGUCUAUAUUCAAGUUUUUAGGAGUUACUUUUUAAAAAUAAAUAAAUAAAUAAGUAAAAGGAUAUUAAAUAACUCCAGCAUAGUGCCAUAUCCCAGCAGCUUGGGACACUAAAUGAAGUUAUCUCUGAAGGUGUUAUUCAGCCCCAUGUAUUCACUGACAUUGAGUGUCCCUGAAGAGCCUGUUUUCGGCAGGUGUGAAAGGUGUCACAGAAUAAGAUUGAGAAACAGUGAAAUGGUAUUAGGUGAGAGUUCCUCCUCCAAGUAUUGACCCCAGUCCAUCUCUCACAACCAUAAGUACUGAGACAAUCCUUUUUCCAUCUUCUCCAUUAUGUCUAAAAAUUUAUUUUCCAGAAUUGGGGAAUUUUACCUGUGCCACACAAAAAUCUCUCGCUGUGUUUGUUUUAUUUCUGUUUUUUUCUUUUUUUUUUUUAAACUCUGAGAGAAGUGUGUCCCUUCUCUCAGGUCAUUUAACAAGGCUAGGAGGUCCUUAUCCGUGUCCCUCAGUUAGAUUUCUCUCUCUCCAUGGCUUAAGUCGAAGUACUUUCAGCAAUUUUUGACAUCUCAGAAGUGACGCCAUUCUGUUCCCAUUUUUAGAAAAUACCAGUGAUACACUGAGGCUGAGAAAAAUCCUUCCUCCUAAAUCUUCCUCCUGUUCUGAAGCAACUUUUCUUGUCUCAUUUCUUUGCCAGCCUUUUCAGAGGUUUCCCUCAUGUGGUUGUAAAGGCGGUGCUUAUAAUUAGGGAAAUGCUUAGUUCCAAGCACAACUAAUACAGUUCUUUUGCCAGUUAUUCCCCAGCAGGGAUAAUAGUAUUUUAUUAUCCUUAAAUGCAAAGGUUAAGUGCGUUUUAACCAAAGUGCCCAAACCCAGUGCUUAAUGCAAUGUAAAAGAUGUCUGUCCUGUACAGUCAUUUUCCUGGCUCACCAGCAGAUGCUGGAGGAACGCAGCCUCCCCUUGGAGGCUUCCAUCCAUCUGGAGUUCCAAGCAGCCCUUAGGCUGCACUUCCCCCUUUUCAUCAGCAGUAAGCUGCUGGCUUUCAAAACCUUCAGGGAACAGGGAUUACACAUGCAUGGAAAUGGGAUUUUUAGUAACAAGUGGCCAAAUGUUCAGACAUCUCUAAAGACAUUUGUGCUUCUAGUGAAAAAAAAAAAAAAAAAGAGCCUGAUCCCAGUAAGGAAUCUAUUUCUAAAUUAAUAAUAAAUUUUAAAACUCCCCAAGUCUGAAAUACAUUAAAAUAGAAGGUGACAUUUGAAUAUGUACUGUGGGUCAGACUCUGAUGCUCUAAGGCACAUUGAGUGCUGUUUUACUUGCAAGUAGUUCUAUUAAUUUCAGUGACCCAGUUAUGGAGUAACACACCACUCAUCAAGAGAAAAUAUGUUAAAAAUCUGCCCACAGUAUUGGAUGAUAAUUUGAUUUCUGCACUGCCUCCCAGACCCAGUCACCCCAUUUUGCUUUCACCACAGUGCAGCGUCUCUUUCACAGAUGCUGACAUCUCUAGAUGGCUGUCAGCCUUUGUGAUGAAGAAUAUUAGAAUAACAUUGUAGCUAUGUCAAUAAAGCAGAUAUGCAUCCAUUCAUAAGGAGGAUAUUUUUUCAGUGAUUCUUGUAAAAAUCUUUGGCUUUUUGUCUUUCAGGUUUGAUAUUCAGGUUUUUGUGGCUAUGGUAACUUCUGUGCAUUUGCAUAUUGUAGGCUGUGCAGCCACAAAUCUGCAUUGGAGAUAAUUGAUUUUCUCCCUGAAGUAAUUUGGUGCUCUUCACUUCAGAGAUCAACCUUUGGAUUAUCGACUCCUUAUUAUUAGUCAUUUGCAAAAUUAUUGCUAUGGCUAUGAGGUUCAUAGCCCUGUCAGACUUUUGGCUUCUUUUCCUCAGGGUUUGCUUCCUGACCAGGAAGGUUUUAAUCCUCUUGUACUUGUGAAAAAAAUUAAAAAAAAAAAAUAAAAGUCAGCUAGCUGUGCUGACACCUUCUUCCAUAACGACAACAUUUCAAAUCAGGUCUUUAUCAACACAUGCUUCUUGCUUGCCUCUACGAUAGCCUCAAAAAAUGUUACAAAGAGCUCAGUCAGUGAUGAUAACCUCUGCAGAGCACUGACCUACAGCAAGGAGAGGAGUGUUUCCAGAUGACUACAGUAUAUUUAGCAAAACCAUGACAAGAAUUUAAACUAUUAGACUACUGUGCAGAUCACAUCAGGGAUACUGUUUUGCCUGGAGGAGUGACUUAAUCCCAUGCUGCCAAUUAUGAAGAACCCUAUUUGGAUAAUUAAGGGCUACAAAGUUGGUGAAGGGUUUGGAGAGGAAGCCAUAUGAGAAGCAGCUAAAGUCACUUGGUUUGUUCAGUCUGGAGAAGAGGAAACUGAGGGGAGACUUCAUGGCAGCUACAGCUUCCUCACAAGGGGAAGAGGAGAAGCAGGUGCCGAACUCUUCUCUUUAGUGGUCAAUGACAGAACCCAAGGGAAUGGCAGGAAGAUGUGCCAGGGGAGAUUCAGGUUGGACAUGAGGAAAAGGUUCUUCACCCAGAGGGUGGUGGAGCACUGGAACAGGCUCCCCAGGGAGGUGUCACGGCCCGAAGCCUGACAGUGUUCAAGAAGAGACUGGACAAUGCCCUCAGACACAAGGUGUGAACUGUGGGGUUGUCAUAUGCAUGGACAGGAGUUGGACUCGAUGAUCCUUGUGGGUCCCUUCCAACUCAGGACAUUCUGUGAUUCUAUGAUGCUAUGAUCCGAACUUUUUUACUCCCAGUGAAAGGAACAAGUGAAGAAAACAUCACGGUGAUCAAUACACACCCCAUAUGAUCAGCUUUCACAAGCUCACCAGAAAUUUGAGUCAAAUUCAUUUUGAGAAAAGAGUGCAAACCACCUACUAGGAGAUAUAGAUGAUAUAGAUAGAUAUAGAUAUAGAUAUAGAUAUAGAUAUAGAUAUAGAUAUAGAUAUAGAUAUAGAUAUAGAUAUAGAUAUAGAUAU